rnacentral:rRNA from 1 species
UACGGAGGAUGCGAGCGUUAUCCGGAUUUAUUGGGUUUAAAGGGUGCGUAGGCGGGCUUUUAAGUCAGCGGUAGAAAUUCGGGGCUCAACCCCGUCCGGCCGUUGAAACUGGGGGCCUUGAGUGGGCGAGAAGAAGGCGGAAUGCGUGGUGUAGCGGUGAAAUGCAUAGAUAUCACGCAGAACCCCGAUUGCGAAGGCAGCCUUCCGGCGCCCUACUGACGCUGAGGCACGAAAGUGCGGGGAUCGAACAGG